UGCGUCAGGCAUUCAGGCAGCGAGCACAGGCACCUGGUGAGGCAGGAGACUCAGCCUGAGGCAUUCGCAGAUAAGUUUCUAUUUAAAAAGAUUUAAAAGGAAACUAGAACUCUAAACUUAAUAGAGUAGCUUACUGAGAUAAUAAUAUUUUAAUAUUAAGAUUUUAAAAGAAAAGUAUGGAGGUUUAUUUAAACAAUUUGAAAAAGGAAAAGAGAAAAAUUUUUGUACCACCAGAUGGAGGCUGACCUGAGGCGUUUAUUCAGAGUAGUUUAGAAGAUUGUAAAAGGGAGCAAUUGUGGAGUUUCAAAGGUUCUAGCUUGAGGGUCAGCCUUGUUAGGUGUACUUUUAAACGAAGGUUACCUAAACAGAAUCUAAAUGGCUUUUUAAAAUUGUAAAGUUGUAGAUAAUAGUUUGAAAAUGAGAUGUAGUUUAAAAAGAUUGAAAAAAGUAAGUUGAAGGGCCGUUAUAAGAGUCGACUGUCGCAUGUACGAAGGCAUGAGUUGGAAACGGGGAAUGGAAGUGGUAGGGUUAGUAUUUUGAGAAAGAAGAUUAGAAAAUGGAAGUGGAAAAAUGAAGACAAGUUCAGGAAGGUGAAGAAAAGCUGUAGAGAAGAUAGGAAAAUAGAAGACCGAAGAAUCAUUAGAAGACAGAAAAGGUAUUUAAACACACAGGUAGGAAGAAAACUAGAAGAUAGAAAAAAAGCAAGAUAGAAAGACAAAAGGAAGUUCAGACAACUUUGGAUGCCAGCAUUCAAGAUAGGCAAAGAAGAUAAGAUCAAGACCAAAAGGUUGGAUAAGGUUAAAUCUCAGAAAUAAAGUCAGAAGGAAAUUAUUUUUAAAGCCAUAAAUUCAAGUUUCUGAUGGAGCCCAGCAGUUUAGAAGUGUCUGUAGACAGCCAUUUUACAAGAGUGAAGCUAGCAGUCAAAGCUACAACUGAAGUAAUUAAAAAGGCAGAAUGCGUUUGAAAAGUUAGAAGAAUAUUAGAAGCCUUAACUUGUAGCUUAAUUUUGUUUUGAGAACAAAAGGACUUUUGAUAACAAUUUCAAGAUUGUCAGCAUUUUGCAUUGGACUUGAGCUGAGGUGCUUUAAAAGUGUUAACGACUAGCAUUGGCAGCCGACCAAGGUCUACACAGAAGUGGAUUCAGUGAACCUAGGAAGACAGGAGUCCCGAAGCCAGUUUGGUGAAGCUAGGAAGGACUGAGCAGCCAGCAGCAGCAGGUCAUGGUGAAGAUAGCCCAGGAAACAGUGCGGUUCGUUGGAGGAAGCUAGGAAGAAGGAGCCGAAAUGAUGUGGUGAAGCUAGAAAAGAGGAUUCCGGGAAGGUGGAGCCAGUUCGAGUUGGUGAUGAAGCUAGCUGGCGUCUUGGCUUGUCAACGCGGAGGAGGCGAGCAGGCAUUGCGUUGUGGAGAGAAUAGAUAGCGGCUCCUAGACCAGCAUGUCAAUGUGCAAGAAAGGCUGCAGGGAAAGCAUGUGGUGCGGUAACAUCCCGUGAGGUCGGCAACGCGGUGGUGGUUUCUGUAACUUGAGGAUGGUAACUUGUUUAUUUUGCCUUGGUAUGGGGGAGUUUGUAGGCUUCUGUCUGUGAAGAGAGUCAUCUGGGGCUGUAGGCCGCUGCGGGUGUUGGAGGUUUUUCUUUUUCAGGGUUGUGUCCUCUUGCAUCUUGUCUGAAGCUUUUGAGGGCAGACUGCCAAGGCCCAGAAGAAUGGUAGAUGGCAAGUUGUCUUAACCCGAUCUGAGGGAAAAUGAAUGGUAGAGCCAACAGUCUCGCCAGUUUUGUAAGACGUUUUAGUUCUGUGAACAGCUAACCUACUGCAGUCUUCUGCAAGUCUUACUACUGUGUAGGGGAGGUAAUUGGGCAAAGUGCUUGGGGGGUGGGGUGGGACAAAAUAUAUUUUGAGUUCUUUUCCCCUUAGGUCUGUCUAGAAUCCUAAAGGCAGAUGACUCAAGGGAACCAGGAAAAAAAGAAAAUCCAGUAUCAGGAUAAGCAGAACUCAACAGGUUUACAGUUUCUAGAAAUUAGAUGAAUAGCUUUCACGUUGAAUAUGGAGGAGCUGUCCAUUGGCGAAAUGGCUGGUAGUUUAUUCUUUUCCCCCUCCCUUAACAAGACUUGUAAAAUUCCUAAUCUUUUGAAUAUUUUUACUUGAAAUAUUUGGGAAUGGUCUUAACAGGGAGGAGUGGGUGGGGGAAAAUGUUUUUUCUAAGAUUUUCCACAGAUGCUAUAGUUCUGUUGGCACACUGGGUUAGAGAAGGCGUGUACUGCUAUGCUGUUGGCACGACACCUUCAGGGACUGGAGCUGCCCUUUAUCCUUGGAAGAGUUUCCCCAGUGGCCGCUGAAGUACAGCACAGUGCAGCUUUGGUUCACAGUCACCUCAGGAGAACCUCAGGAGCUUGAGUAGGCCAGAUGUUAAAGUUAAGUUUUCAAGCACCAUGAC
rnacentral:lncRNA from 1 species